GGAGGCAGCUGUCUAUCGUUGCCUCUGAUUGAAGGUCCUAUAGAUAGGAAUGUGUUUGUCAUGGGAUUUUGUGGGAGAUUGUUUCUUGUUUUGUUGUGUGCCUGACGAGAAUGUCUAGUUCUUUUUUUUUUUGUAUACGUUGUUUGUGUUUUCCUUCUUCACUAAUAAAAAGAAGAUGAGUAUACAUUUUCCCGCUGCAUUUUGGUCUACACCCUACGACAUCCGUGACAGUGAUUAAUUAUACACAUAUUUCUGGACAUCAAGAAGCUGGACUUCGUUAUAUCUGCAGCCGAGACGUUUUGGGGCUCCAAGACUUCACGGCAGAACCACUGCAAGGACUAUUGGCGCUAGGAAAUGUUGUUUUGCAGUGUUAGCUGGCUAACGACAUGGAGCAGCUAAAGCCUCCAACAGAACUGAAACUUAACGACAACGUUGAAGAACAAUGGAAGCAGUUCAAGCAGCGUUUCACCCUCUAUCUGAUGGCGAUAGGAGCGGCUGAAAAAGACGACGCACAGAAGGUCGCACUGUUUCUGACAGUACCUGGCUUGGAUGCCAUUGAUGUCUACAACAGCUUUCAGAUAACAGAUCAGGAGCAAGCAGAUUAGCCAAAUGUCUGUAUUUUUGUACUCCCAGAAGAAACUAAACAUUCGAGAGUUACUGCUCUGUCUCUGGCUCCUGUUUCCUGUUCCACAUCUCACCAUCCAACUACAUUGCUCUGGAUUUUACUCACCACCACUACCUUGGAUUCCCCUCAGGAUCUGUUUACCCUGCUCUACUCAGCUAACUCCAACCUCCGUCUCCACAUCAGUUUUUUUUCUGAAACUCAUCCGAGCUUCCCCGGAUCUGUACUCCAUAUCUCUCUGUGUUAACAAUAAAUAUUUUGGUUCAUU